UUUGUUAAGAUAACACACAUAUCUGUGUUUUGCUCAGAAAUUCUAAUGCACAGUUGACACAACUGAGUCAUGCUUGUCUUCUCAAAUGUAAGUUGAAGUUCACCCAGGGUUCACCACGCUACGUCCUUUUGCACAUGCGCAGAGCGGCAGACCACGUUAGUCAACGUCUCCUCCAUUGAAGGACCGAGCGCGAGAAACGAGCUGACCGUUGGCAAUCAACUGACCGAAGAUUAAUUCAGUGUCAUGACUGAUGCAGUGGAACUAACUAAAAGAGAGAGAGAGAGCAGUUGUUCUCCUUGGCCUGGCCCAUUUCCAGAAAGAGGAUCCCUCCCAAUUCUUCAAGAUUUGUAAGCCAAACGAAGAGAGUGAGGCAGUGAAAGGAAUGAACGUAGGAAUCUUGGUGGUUACAGAGGAGGAUCCUCAACGCCCUGUCCCCAAGGAGAUGAUUGAUAUUGCACUGAUUCUGGAGAAGCAUAUCGUUCUUCGGGACCUGAAGGAUGUG